rnacentral:rRNA from 1 species
CUAAGCGUACACGGUGGAUGCCCUGGCAGUCAGAGGCGAUGAAGGGCGUGCUAAUCUGCGAUAAGCGCCGGUAAGGUGAUAUGAACCGUUAUAACCGGCGAUACCCGAAUGGGGAAACCCAGUGUGAUUCGUCACACUAUCAUUAACUGAAUCCAUAGGUUAAUGAGGCGAACCGGGGGAACUGAAACAUCUAAGUACCCCGAGGAAAAGAAAUCAACCGAGAUUCCCCCAGUAGCGGCGAGCGAACGGGGAGGAGCCCAGAGCCUGAAUCAGCAUGUGUGUUAGUGGAAGCGUCUGGAAAGGCGCGCGAUACAGGGUGACAGCCCCGUACACAAAAGCGCAUGUGCUGUGAGCUCGAUGAGUAGGGCGGGACACGUGGUAUCCUGUCUGAAUAUGGGGGGACCAUCCUCCAAGGCUAAAUACUCCUGACUGACCGAUAGUGAACCAGUACCGUGAGGGAAAGGCGAAAAGAACCCCGGCGAGGGGAGUGAAAAAGAACCUGAAACCGUGUACGUACAAGCAGUGGGAGCACAGGUUUACCUGUGUGACUGCGUACCUUUUGUAUAAUGGGUCAGCGACUUAUAUUCUGUAGCAAGGUUAACCGAAUAGGGGAGCCGGAGGGAAACCGAGUCUUAAUUGGGCGUUAAGUUGCAGGGUAUAGACCCGAAACCCGGUGAUCUAGCCAUGGGCAGGUUGAAGGUUGGGUAACACUAACUGGAGGACCGAACCGACUAAUGUUGAAAAAUUAGCGGAUGACCUGUGGCU